rnacentral:rRNA from 1 species
CCUACGGGAGGCAGCAGUAAGGAAUAUUGGGCAAUGGAGGCAACUCUGACCCAGCCAUGCCGCGUGAAGGAUGAAGGCCCUAUGGGUUGUAAACUUCUUUUGUACGGGAAUAAACCUGGUUACGUGUAACCAGUUGAAUGUACCGUAAGAAUAAGCACCGGCUAACUCCGUGCCAGCAGCCGCGGUAAUACGGAGGGUGCAAGCGUUAUCCGGAUUUAUUGGGUUUAAAGGGAGCGUAGGCGGGAUUGUAAGUCAGUGGUGAAAGCCCGUAGCUCAACUACGGAACUGCCAUUGAUACUGCAGACCUAGAGUACACUUGAAGUGGGCGGAAUGUGUCAUGUAGCGGUGAAAUGCUUAGAUAUGACACAGAACACCAAUUGCGAAGGCAGCUCACUAAAUUGUAACUGACGCUGAGGCUCGAUAGCGUGGGGAUCAAACAGGAUUAGAUACCCGUGGUAGUCCACGCCGUAAACGAUGAUUACUCGAUGUUGGCGAUACCACUGUCNGCGUCGUGAGACGAAGACUAGUUAAGUUAACUACCGUACCGGUACGGGGUACGGGUACGGUCGGACGACGACGUACGAAACGUAACGAAAGGUAAAGUUAGUACGGCGUAGACGAACGUACCGAACGGACGACGACGGAGGGGAGGAGG